UAAAUGGGGUUAACAACAAGGAGCAGGCCGCAAUGACGUCACUCAUCUCAACGCAUGUGCACUAAAGUUGAAGCCUCGUGGCAGUCUCAGAACUAUUAGCAGUCACUUUGUGAGCAUAUCAGACGUCCAUCAUUCAUUCAUUCAUUCAUCUUCUGUCUACGAAUUCUCUCUACCGAUUAGUGCCCGGUCAUCGGCCAUGGACCCCCCCCCCCCCCUCAGUUGGCAGGUUACAUGCUGGACAAUAUCAAUAUGGAUUAGACAAAGACAAUGCAGCAGUUUACUGUGCAUGUACUAGUUAGGUAGCUGCUACCCUAACAGUUUUAUCUAGCUCAAUUUUUUUAUUCCAUAAUAUACUACCUCGCUAGCUAGAUGUGUUGUCAGUCAUCAUUAUAAUAAGCAAAAUUGUGUUACUAAUAAUAAUACAUGAACAUUGUGUAAUGAUGAUGUCAGUAAUUAUACCCAAAAAUAGUUAGUACAAAAAGGGAUAGAGAUACACAUGAACUAUUUUAUUACACAAUCAAUGAAAUGGAUUCAUCUAAAGAAGAAUGGCUUAGGAAACGCUACACAGACGCACCAUCCGAAGGACCUCAAGCAAAACGUGUAAAGUUCGAGGAUUUGUAUAACGACAUCUCUUCAGCUUUUGUAAAGACAAAAUUCAACUCGAAAAUGGUGUCAGACGUUAUUAAGUCUGUUUUUCCUCUUUCAAUAUCAAGACCAGCUGGAAAAUCUCGCAAGUCACACAUUUUUGGUAUUGAACCUCGGGAACAACCAGCUAGUAGAUCUACCAAAUCCUUCGCCAUUACAACACGAGAAUAGUCAGCUAAGACAACAGGUGAAAGCAUUGGAAGAACGAGUUCAUGGGCUAGAGGAACAGCUUGUCGGGCAAAUAAAUUCCUUGACAACUUCGAAAAACGUUGCUUAUCAUGGGCCUGAUACUGUUGAUCACUUCAAUGACUUUACCAUGGCUAAACUCCUUGAAGAAUUUGAGCUGCUAUCUCCUGCGAUUGCUGAGGAUUCUCGGUAACACUGGCAGGCGGGAUAAUGAAGAUGAUGAAGAAGUGGAUCCAACAUCAGACACAAUGGUGGUGAUGGCCAUGUGUGCCCUGCUGAAAAGCCGAACAAGAAAGCCGGGUUCUUGGACUUCAACUUUUGAUCAGCUUCAUGCUAGUGGCUCGGUCAACAAACAGUCAGGUAGGUACCUAUACAAAAUUAAUGAGAAAUAUUCUAAUUAUGAAUCAUGCUGGGAUAUGUGUGUCAUAUGUAACCACAUGGAAGUACCUAAAACAACUGACUGAUCAAGCCAGAUACACUGAGCUAGUACGAGAAGGGCACUGGCUAUGGGUUUUUGACAACGUUAAUAUGCACCAAAAAGUCAGACACGAACGUGAAGAUUGCCACUCGAGUAUGCUCAACAUUACAGCACGCAUAGCUGUUCAAAUAAAACGUGUUCCAGAUUGGUCAUUUGAAUGGAGUGAUAUUACACCGCAACGUUCUCUUGACUCACUCACGACAGUCG